rnacentral:tRNA from 1 species
UGGGGGCGUAGCUCAGCUUGGUUAGAGCACUGGACUGUCACUCCAGAGGCCGCGGGUUCGAGCCCCGUCGCUCCCGU